GCUGCCGACGGCUCUGCCUCCGGCUCCGCACUGAAGCAAUCUGCUCUCUCUCUCUCUCUCCUCCGUGAAGUGCUGAAUCUGCCAGUGAACCAUGACACCGACGCACCUCCGUCGGUUGCCUCCGCCAUUGCCUCCUCGAGCCACCCUGUUGAGGCAAUCUGCUAGCGAACCACGACGCCGACGCGCCUCCGCCUCUGCAGUCGCCUCCCGAGCCGCUGCACCUCAGCGCUGAAUCAAUAUGCUCUCUCUCCCCUCCGCAAAGCGCUGAAUUUGCUAGAGAACGCCGACGUUGACGCCGACGCGCCUCCACCUCCACCUCCGCCUCCUUGACCCGCCGUCGCGUUUUUCCCUCAUCCUCACGACCUCUGCACUGUUCUCUCUUUCUUUUCUCCGCGAAGCGCCCCUGCUCGUGAACGCCAAAGCCACCGACGUUGUCGAUGCCGUCGCUUCCUGAGCCCCGCCAUCGCCUGUCAAAGCCCCAUUGGCGGCUCCGAUACGUCCUCUGCAUCUCGAAGGUAAUGCUUUGAGAAGGGUCCAUAAAGCUUGUCUCUGUGCAACUCUCUGUUGCAGACAUCAAAGUUGAGAUGGAGAAGACUCUACAGUGGCUUGUUCCAAUUGCCAAAAAACAGCGAAGUCUGAGGUAAACAGGAAGCCUCCUGUCACUGGAUAAAUCGAGCUAUCAUGUUAAAGACGCGUCUGCCAAAAUCUGCUCGCCUUUACUGAUUGCUGAUGACUAAUGUUACAAGACAUAAGUGAGAGAAAAUGGCAGUUAGGAAUCAGUAAGAGCUGGGAUUUCGACUCCUUCAAGGCUAGGUUGAAGAAGCACGACAGACUGAGCAAGAGGAUGUCACUGAUAGAGUCAAUGAAUUUAGAUGACUCAAAGGAAUCCACAUACCUUUGGAUAAAGUAGAACGCCUUAUAGGUAAAGAGAUGGUCAUCCCACGUCCUGCUUUUGUCUACCACUGUGUACAUAGAGUUCUGGAAGACAGCGAGCCCCAUAGCAUCCCUGGUAGAUGGCUUUGAAAGAAUUUGGGGAAUAUUCGCAACCUCCGUCACUCAAAAGUUCCUCCUACGACGUAGGGGCAACGCAGGUAUGCUUUGGAAGCUGGAGAGAUGUGGCUGGGAGAAUAUGCAAAGGAGGUGAAUCACAGUUUAGUUUGAAAAGAUAGUGAAAAGAAUACGUGACAUACUUUUGGUGUCUGUACAAAAGUGAAGUCAUAUUGUUCAAAUUAUUCAUUUUGGAUGCAUGGAGUUGCUCUUUUUGGGGGUUCCGUCUGCAUUUCUUCACUCUA